GUCCUGCAAGCUCAGUGGUUAGAGCACUCGCCUGGCAAGCGAGAGUACCUGGAUUUGAUUCCCAGGUGGGACA